CACGAACGCUGGCGGCAGGCUUAACACAUGCAAGUCGAGCGCCCCGCAAGGGGAGCGGCAGACGGGUGAGUAACGCGUGGGAAUCUACCCAUCUCUACGGAAUAACGCAUGGAAACGUGUGCUAAUACCGUAUACGUCCUUCGGGAGAAAGAUUUGUCGGAGAUGGAUGAGCCCGCGUUGGAUUAGCUGGUUGGUGGGGUAAAGGCCUACCAAGGCGACGAUCCAUAGCUGGUCUGAGAGGAUGAUCAGCCACACUGGGACUGAGACACGGCCCAGACUCCUACGGGAGGCAGCAGUGGGGAAUAUUGGACAAUGGGCGCAAGCCUGAUCCAGCCAUGCCGCGUGAGUGAUGAAGGCCCUAGGGUUGUAAAGCUCUUUCACCGGUGAAGAUAAUGACGGUAACCGGAGAAGAAGCCCCGGCUAACUUCGUGCCAGCAGCCGCGGUAAAAC
rnacentral:rRNA from 1 species